GGGUGAGGGAAGCGAAGUUGUCAGUCACCCGUCAGCGCUUGGAGGGGCAUACAGUGUUUCUGGGAAUGGUUCUGGUGUCGUGAGGCAGGAGGGAGGACACGGAAGAGAGAUGCUGAUCUCUAGGUACGGGAGGUGAAUAUGAAACGGCCGCCUGCUGUGUGCUUCCUUGCGUAUGCCGCCCCUCCUGCCCCAGUCUUCCGCCGCCGUGACUCGUGUCCUCCCGCUCUGCUUCGCUUUGCUGCUUCGCCAUCAUGUCACUUUUUGCUGUUAGGAAGCAGGAGGGGCGCCACGCCACGCCAAGCCCGCGUCCCCAGCGUCCCUGACUGGGCCCUUCACUGCACCCUCAUCAAGACCAACGGGUGAUCUUGCCUCAUUAAGGGACGGGGCGUAGGGUGGGCCGCGCGGCAUCACGGGGCAGGGCGGGGCCAUGAGGAGCCGCCCUGGAAGUCGAUUGAGGGGCGUAGCGGGAUGUUUACCGCUAUUUAUUAAGGGUAAAAUGAAGCCCUGCAGGGAGCCGCGGCGUGUCUCCUUCUCCUGGGCAACUCGCGGCGCGGUGCAGUGCUGGCGGGGGUCAGGGGUGGCCUGCCUCACUUCCUUCUGCUGUAGUCAGGGUUCUCACUCCGUCCAGCGUCCUCUACUCUGAGAAUCUACCAGUUGUCGGGUUUUCUAAGGAGACUCUCAGUAGAUUAGCCUUUCACUGCGACGCGGAAUAACUAACGGUACGAGAAGCAAUACAUGACAUCUUUAUGAGCAUCUACAAAAAAGUAAGGGAUUAAAAGAAUAGGUUUUGCAAUUUUUACCCAGUUUAAAGAUUGGAGGUGGUUGUAGUGCAAGUGAAGAUGUCUCAGAGUAAUUAAAGUAAUUAGUAAUUAAAGGAAGAUCUACCAAAUAACGGUAAAAGGGUCUAAGGCGUAAAGAAUUGACGAAAAUCACUGAGAAAUGCGAUAAUGUGUGUUAAGUUAGGUUAGGUUAAGUGUUAUAAGGAAAUUGUUGGUAGAUUAAAGGCGUAAAAAAAAAAAAAAACUAACAAAAACCCGAAAAGAAAGCUGGAGUGAGUCAAGUGUUACUCAAGAAUCAGUUAUUGGGUUUUCUAAGAAGACUUAAGAUCAAAGGACAAAAAAUAAGGAAAAAAAAACACCU